CUCUGAUUUGCUUUAAAGAUAGGUGGCAUUACACAGGUUAUGUUACACUCUCUUUAUAAUUUUUUUUGACAAAAAGAUACUGUUCAUUUUAACAGGCCGCCUUAAUAUUAAUACAUGUCGAAUAGGAUUGGAACCGAAAAUCAGCUAGAGAGGGUAAUGUUACAUUAUCGGGAAAAUUACAGUUUUGUAGCAGCGUGUGGUGGGGACGGGAGGGUGGGGCAGCGAGAAUGGAUGGUUUUCCUGAUCAUAAUGCCAGCUUUCUUUUCUCCCUUUUUUUUUUAUAAUAGCUUUUGUUGUUGUUGUUAUUGUUUACAAAAUAUUUUACAGAAGAAAAAAAUUAUUGCAGCUAGCCUGAAGGCAAGAUGGGCAAAGACAAGCGACAGUUGAACAGCUUCAAAGCACAAAAUCUGUCACUCAUAGCGUGUCUCCUCACUGUGCUCUGGGCGCUUCAGGGAAGAGUCGAGACCUCACUGAGGAAGGUGUUCCUGACUGUCCUGCUAGGUCUUCAAUGCCUCUGAGACCUGGUGAAACACCACACACACACACACACACACACACACACACACACACACACACAUCCUAGGAAGAAUUGAGCUAGGCUCUCAACUGAGUGCUGCUCAAUAUUGUAUGUUGGUUUUGAAUACCACGAUGCAGUCUGGUAGCUGUAAGUCAGUUUGCACACAAAGGAAAACGACACUGGUCUAACGAUGUGGCUCCUUGCAUGUAUGUAUGCCCUGUCUGAGUCAAGUCUUCUUAAUGUAACUGGCCAGCAAAGAGGCCAGGGAUGUGGGGACAGAGACGUUAGUUUAGACUCCAAAGUCAGCAUUUUGCACCUAGUCUGAGUGACUCAAACUUAGAUAUGUACAAUAUAUAUAUAAAUAUAUAUAUGUUUGUGUGUGUGUUUUUAUAUACAUCUAAUAUAUAUAGUAACCCUGUUCUCCCUUACGCACUCUGGUCUGUGGACCCUCUGACGCUCUCUGUUUUGUUUUGGCUCUAUGUGUGGUUAGAAGCACACUCUUGUUGACAUCAUCUGAAUUUCCCAGGGAGCCAAUGAAGAACCUCUGUGGACCCAGAGGAAUCCCAUGGAUGUGUGUUGGCUUGGCUGAAGGAACCUAUAUCAAAACUCCUUCCUAGGACAUGGAGUCCUGAAAUAUGAAUCCCAGUGGAUAGAGUGUUGACAGAAGUCAGGAGUCCUGACACAACAGACAGCCCUUGCAAGAAGAGAGGGCUGGAAGGAGGAAGCCCAGCGGGGCCUCUGGAAUGCUCAGAAUGCUGAACUUCCAAAGCUGUAAGCCAAUAUUUCUUUAUCCAUUGUCCUCUGGGAAGUCCUGCAUUUAAACAUCAUGUAGAUAGACAGAUCCACCUGUCUUAAAGCUAGGCAUGAAUGUAGUCACCAGCAAACAGAACGUCAGCAUGGCAUCCUGACCCAUGUAUCAGUGCAAAUCUGGGAUGUGCAAACGGGGGGAUUUUUACCACAUGGACUGUGCAUGAAACGUCAAAUAAUAAAAUAAGCAUUAUAUUUCCAAAAAUACUUUUAUCAAACAAAUAUAAAUAAAAAUAAACAUGAUCUUCUCUUUGAAUUUCUUACAGACAUUUCUCUGGCCCUGCCUUGUCUUCAGGCUGUUUAUUUUAUCCCUGUUGGCCAUACCACCUAUCUUAUAUAUAUCAUAAUAGAUAGUCUAUCAGUAAGGAAUUUUAACGUUUCAAAAAUCACUCUAAUGAUUUUUUUUUGCAAGAAGGCAAAUAAUCUAUAAAACAGAUCAUCAUGAGGGUGUGCGAGUGGCGCCUGCCCUUCCGAUUCUGAUUUGAACUUUGAUUUCCCUUUUGAUUCCUCUGAGCUUGGGUGUGGCUGUGAGAUAAGACUCUCAAUGCAUUCUGGGAGGGUGAUGUUACAGAACAGAGAAAGGAAACAAUUCAGAAGGGAAGACUACACUGUGAACUGAGUUCAUGAGCUACCUAAAAUAAAUUACUAUUCACACUGUACAUGGAAAAUGGACAUUGCUGGAGCCCCCUGUUAUUGAUUAGUAAUGUAUAGACAAUAGUUGUAUACACAUGAAGGGGGGAAGUCAAGGGGACUAUGUGGUUUCAUUUCUACCACCAGAAGUGGGCAAUGGAUUUGACACAUAAGUGUGGCCAACAGAAGUGAUAAUAUAACUUCUUCAGCAUACUGUCUUAUUUUCAAAAUCUGUGCUGUAUCUGGGAUACUUCCCUUUACAUUCCAACUUAAUUGAUGGUGGCAUCUGUUGCUUGAGAAUACAAUAUGAGAAAAUGCUUAUGUACAAUGUAUAAUGAAUACAAACCCUGUGGAAAUUGUUUAGAAAUCAGACUUAGUUGUUCUUAACACACUAGUGCAAAAUGUUGAGCAUCAAGAAUCCUGGAUGGAACAGCUCUGACUGUGGGAUCUGCAAACAUCCCUAGUAGUUGAUGGAUGCCCAAUGGAGCCUGAAGAUCCACAGAGCUCAUGUCUCAGGCAGGGUGGAGUGAAGCGAGUGUACGUGUGUGCAUUUUCCAGAAGACGUCUUCUCCAGGAAGGUUUUUCUUUUGUAAAGAAUUCGUGUCCAGGGAAUAGGGUUAAAAAGAAAAGAAAAACACAAAACACAUAUCAAGUUGCUACCAUUUUGUCGCCGCACCUGAAGGAUGUAUCCAUAUGCUCAGAAGACUACAUCCAAAGGCAUCCUGGCCACACAGAGACACAAAAGUCAGAGGCAUUAAGUACCACCUGUCUGUAAGACUACAGUCUUCCUUGCCCUCGCCGUUGUCGGUGUCUUGAUGUCUGGUGGAGGCAGCAGCCAGGCUUUUAUAAUCCACUUUCCAGAUGAAGAUGUAUUUGCAAUUUGAUCCUCAGAAGACUCGGUCAUGGUUGAGAAGAAAUUCCCACUGCGUUAUGCCAGCAGACGAUGGCCAAGGUUGCUGCAGCAAGGCAAGAGUAGAAGGGGGGUGGUAUAUGGCACCAAAGGAUUUUACUGCUUGUCCAUCAGAGGUAUGGCUAUGAAUCGGUCCUAGGGGGCACUGAGGGCUAUACCACUGUACACACUGUGUUCAGAGUCGUGUCAAACCUCACAGCCUUGGCCUCUGUGGGUUUUAAGUUUGUAUCAUACAUGGGGUUUUCAAAUGAAGCUUGUCCAUUACUGUUUUCAUGGCCAGCAUAGCCAUUAUAUUGAACUUUUGGUCUUGUUCUAAAGAGAAAAGAGAGAACAUAAUCAGAUUCUAACUGCAAUGACAUAGCCUCCACCCAGUCUCCAUGCAUUCUCAGCAGAAAAUAUUCGUGUAAGGUUAUGGGGAGGAGAGGGCAUAGUAGCUACUUCACUAUGUGUUGACUCUUUAAA
rnacentral:lncRNA from 1 species